UCCGCUUGCCCUGUCCGCGCGCCUCGGGCGGGCGUCGUCUUGCCGCUCCCCGCCGUUGCAUUUCUGCACAUCAGAAGAUUAGUAGAAGGGGUUCUGCGUGCAUAUAGAAUUAACAGGUGGGGGCAGUGGAAGAGAAAUGGAGCGAGGAAGAGGGAGGACACUGCAACCUAUGUGAAUAAUUGAUAGUGCAAGGAAAGGAGAGUGCAUGUGGGAGCAGCUGGAUUCCCUGCCUCCAUCUGCUCACCAGCUGGGGAUGAGAGAUCAUUGCUCAGGAGGAGAGGAGGCAUCCAAGGAGAAGAGCCAGGAGCUGCCUUCAACAGAGAAGUCCAGCAUGUUUUCCCGAAAGCACAGUUUCUGUGUUGGAGCC